rnacentral:rRNA from 1 species
GACGAACGCUGGCGGCGUGCCUAAUACAUGCAAGUUGAGCGCUGAAGGUUGGUACUUGUACCAACUGGAUGAGCAGCGAACGGGUGAGUAACGCGUGGGUAAUCUGCCUUUGAGCGGGGGACAACAUUUGGAAACGAAUGCUAAUACCGCAUAAAAACUUUAAACACAAGUUUUAAGUUUGAAAGAUGCAAUUGCAUCACUCAAAGAUGAUCCCGCGUUGUAUUAGCUAGUUGGUGAGGUAAAGGCUCACCAAGGCGAUGAUACAUAGCCGACCUGAGAGGGUGGUCGGCCACAUUGGGACUGGGAAACGGCCCAAACUCCUACGGGAGGCAGCAGUAGGGAAUCUUCGGCAAUGGACGAAAGUCUGAACGAGCAACGCCGCGUGAGUGAAGAAGGGUUUCGGAUCGUAAAACUCUGUUGGUAGAGAAGAACGUUGGUGAGAGUGGAAAGCUCAUCAAGUGACGGUAACUACCCAGAAAGGGACGGCUAACUACGUG